GAGUCAUCAAUGGAAUAGCGUGUGAAUCAGUCAAUGUCUAACAUGUGAAUUAAAUACACUUUGAAUCAGCCAAUGCAAUUAAAGGCAAAACGCACGUGUAUAUAUUGACUUAGAAUGAAGAAAAAAAACUUCAGAACAUGGAUUCAAAACGCAUCUCCCUCCUAACUUUAGUCUUGGUUCACUGUUACUCCCUCCGCCGUGUCGGAGGCGGUCCUCGGAGGCGUAGGUUUUCAAAAAAACAAUUAAACACCACCAAUCCACUCAGUUUCAUGCACUGAACACGAAAAAUCCAUUAGAUUCUCCUAAUUUCGGAAGAAUCAAGUGAAUGGCAACGAAGAGGAAUCGAGCCACCUCACAUUGGGGCUUUGAUUCCCCUCGCGAAGAGCUACAUAUCGGAAACCGAAUCAAGGUGAGAAGAUAAAGAGGAACCUACUUGCGAGACGACGAUGUGUCUCAGAGUUUGUUGCAUUCGAAUCCGACAAAGAUGGUGAUGAUGAAUCUGCACUCAGGUGUUGAAGAAGAGUUGAAGGUGAUGAAAAUUUGUUCUGAGUUUUAUGAGAUUGUGAGAAGUGAGAUCUAUUUGCAGUGAUUGUGAUGAAAUGUGAAUUCUGAGAUUGUGAAAAGUGAAGGAUGAGAGAGUUCGAAAGUGUUGAAUCGUGAAUCUGAAAAAAUGAGUUGGAACUGAUGAAUGUGAAUGCGCUCUAUUUAUAUAGGUGAUGAUCAUUCAAUUAUGCUCUCUCAAAUUCUGUUAGAAGUUUCUCAAAUUCUAUUAGGGUUUCUGUUAGUCUGUUAUUCCCUUCCAAAAUUAUGUUGAACUUUGCUUCCUAAUCUGUUUCGAUUUGUUAUGAGGUCUGUUAUAGUUUGUUAUUUUUGUUAUGAUUUGUGAAGUUCUGUUAUGAACUGUGUUUAAUCUUAUUGCCAUUUUCUGUUAUGUGUUGUGUAAAGUUAGGAAGUUUGUUAGGAUAGUGAAAACGGUUAUAGAGUUAAUUAGGAGGUUUUGCUAAGUUAGUUGGAAGUUAGGGUGUGGACUAAAUGUGCAGGUUGCUUGUGGUUUCAAUUUUGCAGGCAUGCGUUGGCUUGGCUUGGAAUUGCAAAUGGAUUUGAAUUGGCCAUGGAGUACUUGGAUUAUUUUGAAGUUGUUUUGUUUUGGACCUUGCUAUAAUGGCUCAUGGAAUGCUUAUUGAUUUUUAUGCUUGAUGGAGUGCAAAUGGAGUUAUCAUGGACCUUUGAUUUGAUUGUUACAUGGCUUGCUUGGACUAAAAUGGUAUUCAUGGUUCUGUAAAAGGCAUUAAUGUGUUUGAAUGUGGAAUUAUGUAAUAUGAAUCGUGUAUUAUGACUAUGUGGAAAUGAAAUUGAUGUAUGAUGAAAAAUGGAUCAAUGGAAGUGAAUGGUUAAAUGA